AUGUGCAACAUGAUAACAAUAAUAGUAAUAAUUGUGGUGGUGGUGGUGGUGGUGGUGGUAGUAGUAGUAGUUGUGGUUGUAGUGGUGGUAGAAGUAGUAGUAGUAGUAAUAAUGGUAGUAGUACCAAUAAUAAUAACAUAUAUUUAUGUGCUAUGCACAUAUCAAGGAACUUUUAAUAAUCUCGUAUGUCUUGAUGCAGGAGAUGACUAUAGUUUGAAUUGGGAACAACGACUUCAUAUUGCACUUGAUGCUGCACAAGGGCUGGAGUAUCUACAUGAGUCAUGCACCCCAUCAAUAGUUCACAGAGAUGUAAAGACCCCCAACAUCCUUCUAGACAAGAAUCUGGUGGGGAUAAUAUCUGAUUUUGGGCUUUCCCGCGCUUUUAAUGAUGCUCACACACACAUAUCUACUGUUGCUGCUGGCACUCUUGGCUACCUCGACCCCGAGUACCAUGCAACUUUCCAACUCACAGUCAAGACAGAUGUUUAUAGCUUUGGCAUCGUGCUUUUGGAGAUCAUCACUGGCCAGCCCCCAGUAUUGAUGGAGCCUCAAACCUUUCAUCUACCAAACUGGGUACGCCAUAAGAUUGCCAUGGGCAAUAUUCAUGACAUCGUGGACAAGAGAUUGUUGGAUCAGUACGAUGCUUUUUCACUGCAGAGUGUGGUAAACCUUGCCAUGAACUGUGUUGAAAACACAGCCAUCAAUAGGCCGACCAUGACCGAGGUUGUCUCAAGGCUCAAAGAGUUGUUGCCAGUAGUUUCAAGCGAAAAUCAGUCUGUUUCUGCUUCAACUAGUAGUAUGAACCCCAUGGAUGCUGAAAUUCGAAGGCAAUUUCAGUUGACGAUUUCUAGAGAAAGCAACGAGGAGUACUCCUUCAAGUCUAGUUAUGCCGGUGGGAUGUCGGAAUUAAUCCAUUUAUCUGGACGGUGA
rnacentral:rRNA from 1 species